ACGUUAAAAGUAUUUUAGAACGCCUAUUACGAUGUUUUUUUCCGAAAAAGUAAAGUUGUAAUGUUUCUGUGUUACAGGGAUUUUGAUAGCGUUGCUUGUGUCGGCGUCGGAAAAAGGCAUACACAGAUUCUGAGUGCUUGAGCGAAAUAGACGGUGGAUCUCGUGUCAAAGAUGGUCAGUGUGAUGACUCAGAAGUUGAAAAACGUGAUGUAUCGGAAGUGUAUUUCAAGCUACCGUAAAUGCAAUUUCAUGUACGUAUCAGUAAGAGUGUAGUCCAAGCUUUGCAAAAGGAACAUGUUCUUGAAAAACUGGAGGAAUAUUUGCACAACAAAGAUGGAAUUAACCCAAACACCAGUGUUUCGGUUUUACCAAAAGAUAUGUUCAACCUAACAAUGACAUAUGAUCGAACAGAUGCAAAAAAUCCAGGAUAUGUCGUUUCGUUUGUAAUACAACCUGACACUGAAAACAGAGACACGAUUGUUGAAGAAAUAAAGCGUUUGUCUAUGUGGAUCACGAAAUGAUGCUGUUUGGAGCAGCAUUUAAUAUUCAUAAUAUAAC
rnacentral:lncRNA from 1 species